rnacentral:misc_RNA from 1 species
GUGAAGAACGUAGCGAAAUGCGAUACGUAAUGUGAAUUGCAGAAUUCAGUGAAUCAUCGAGUCUUUGAACGCACAUUGCGCCCCCUGGUAUUCCGGGGGGCAUGCCUGUCCGAGCGUCAUUGCUGCCCUCAAGCACGGCUUGUGUGUUGGGCCUCCGUCCUCCUCCCGGGGGACGGGCCCGAAAGGCAGCGGCGGCACCGCGUCCGGUCCUCGAGCGUAUGGGGCUUCGUCACCCGCUCUUGUAGGCCCGGCCGGCGCUUGCCGAAACAUCAAUCUUUUUUCCAGGUUGACCUCGGAUCAGGUAGGGAUACCCGCUGAACUUAAGCAUAUCAAUAAGCGGAGGA